UCAGUGUUCUUCACUGACCUGUAGGGUGUGUAACUCAACUGUCUAUGUCACUAAGAUUCAGUGUGCUUCAUCAACGUCUAAACACAAAUAUAGUUAAUCUCCAUUAUUUAGUGUUCAAAUGUGAAUAUCUGCUCAGUAAUUAAUCAAAGAUAUUUAUUGCUGAGUUUGGCAUAAAACUAAAACUAAACUCAAAGAUGUUUAAUUUUCUGAAAUACUUUUGAAUUAGAAUUUCUUUUUCACUUGGAAAGCUUCUCCUUGUCAUGUUCCCCAACACUUCUUUUGGUGGAAGGUCACUUGUGCUUGUUUGAGCUUUGAGACUCCAUACAGUGUUCCGUUACACACAUUGCUUUCACACAAUGGCUUGAUGUUUAUGGAAUUUGUUACAUUGUUUCUUGUGUUGCAGUUGGACUGUUUGAAUAUAUUGUGUUAAUUCAUAUGCUUACAGCACUAUACCUUUGAUUUAAUAUAAUCACAAUGAGAAUUUGUAUGUCGCAACAUGAUCAUUUUUUUUAGUAGCUAAAUAAUCUUGUCAUGUACAACAUUUAAUUCACCAUGUUAGCUGUAGCCUGCUACCAUUCCAUCCAUCUUAAUCUUUUGCUCCAACUCCACCUGGGGUCUUCAGCUGGUAG